CAUUGGAUAGCUCAGUGGUAGAGCAUCAGAUUUAGAUUCUGAAGUCGAAGGUUCAAAUCCUUCUCCAACAG
rnacentral:tRNA from 2 species